rnacentral:rRNA from 1 species
UACGUAGGGUGCGAGCGUUGUCCGGAAUUACUGGGCGUAAAGAGCUCGUAGGCGGUUCGUCGCGUCGGCUGUGAAAACCCGGAGCUCAACUCCGGGCCUGCAGUCGAUACGGGCGGACUCGAGUUCGGCAGGGGAGACUGGAAUCCGUGGUGUAGCGGUGAAAUGCGCAGAUAAUCAGGAGGAACACCGGUGGCGAAGGCGGGUCUCCUGG